rnacentral:rRNA from 1 species
UACAGAGGUCCCGAGCGUUGUUCGGAUUCAUUGGGCGUAAAGGGUGCGUAGGCGGUCUUCUAAGUUUGAUGUGAAAUCCCGGGGCUCAACCCUGGAAUUGCAUUGAAUACUGGAGGACUAGAGUACCGGAGAGGAAACUGGAAUUUACGGUGUAGCAGUGAAAUGCGUAGAGAUCGUAAGGAAGACCAGUGGCGAAGGCGAAGUUUCUGGACGGUAACUGGAC